rnacentral:tRNA from 1 species
GCCUGGGUGGCUCAGUCAGUUGAGCGUCUGACUUCAGCUCAGGUCAUGAUCUCAUGGUUUGUGGGUUCGAGCCCCACUUCAGGCU